GACGAACGCUGGCGGCGUGCUUAACACAUGCAAGUCGAGCGGUAAGGCCCUUCGGGGUACACGAGCGGCGAACGGGUGAGUAACACGUGGGUGACCUGCCUCUAGCUCUGGGAUAAGCCUGGGAAACUGGGUCUAAUACCGGAUAUGACUCCACGGCGCAUGUUGUGGGGUGGAAAGCCUUGUGUGGCUAGAGAUGGGCCCGCGGCCUAUCAGCUUGUUGGNGGGGUNAGGCCCUACCAAGGCGACGACGGGUAGCCGGCCUGAGAGGGCGACCGGCCACACUGGGACUGAGAC
rnacentral:rRNA from 1 species